UGGACAUCAACAACACUUGGUAAUAAAGAGAAAAACAAAUCAGGCUAAACCUUCCACAAAAUCAGAUUGUAGAACAUAAAAUAAUUGAAAUUUUACUCCCAAAAAAAGCAUGGGAGAUCGAAUCCAAAGAAAACAACAAUUGUAAAUAACUAAUAGUCCAGUUACAAUUAUAUAAGAGACUUUUACAAUGGGAAAUAGAGGGUUAAAGUUGUUGCACAUCAAAAG
rnacentral:misc_RNA from 1 species